rnacentral:rRNA from 1 species
CUAAACUGAGGAAAGUCGGCCGAAACUGAUCGACUCGAGGAACGUAGAGGGAAGCGGAACUCUCGGAGUAGCGGUGAAAUGCGUAGAGACCGAGAGGUACCCCGAUGGUGAAGACAGCUUCCUGGGCGUUUCCUGACGCUGAAGCGCUAAGGCCAGGGGAGCGAAGGGGAUUAGAUACCCCCGUAGUCCUGGCUUCAAGCGAUGUGGGCUUGGUGUCGGCCCCCGACAGAGGGUCGUUGCCGGAGCUAACGUGUUAAGCCCACCGCCUGGGGAUUACGUCCGCAAGGAUGAAACUCAAGGGAAUUGACGGGGGCCCACACAACCGGUGGAGCACGUGGUUUAAUUCGAUGAUAAGCGAAGAACCUUACCAGGGCUUGACCUAGCGGCAGUAGGACCCCGAAAGGGGAACGACCUCAAGCUUUGCUUGAGGAGCC